rnacentral:rRNA from 1 species
GGCGAACGCUGGCGGCGUGCUUAACACAUGCAAGUCGUACGGUAAGGCCCUUUCGGGGGUACACGAGUGGCGAACGGGUGAGUAACACGUGAGUAACCUGCCCACAACUUUGGGAUAACGCUAGGAAACUGGUGCUAAUACUGGAUAUGUGCUCCUGCUGCAUGGUGGGGGUUGGAAAGCUCCGGCGGUUGUGGAUGGACUCGCGGCCUAUCAGCUUGUUGGUGGGGUAGUGGCCUACCAAGGCGGCGACGGGUAGCCGGCCUGAGAGGGUGACCGGCCACAUUGGGACUGAGAUACGGCCCAGACUCCUACGGGAGGCAGCGGUGGGGAAUAUUGCACAAUGGGCGCAAGCCUGAUGCAGCAACGCCGCGUGCGGGAUGACGGCCUUCGGGUUGUAAACCGCUUUCAGCAGGGACGAAGCUUUUUGUGACGGUACCUGCAGAAGAAGCACCGGCUAACUACGUG